rnacentral:rRNA from 1 species
GGAGUUAGCCGGUGCUUCUUCUGUGAGUGAUGUCCUUCCUGCCGGCUAUUAACCCGCAGGCCUUCUUCCUCACUGAAAGUGCUUUACAACCCGAAGGCCUUCUUCACACACGCGGCAUGGCUGGAUCAGGGUUGCCCCCAUUGUCCAAUAUUCCCCACUGCUGCCUCCCGUAGGAGUCUGGGCCGUGUCUCAGUCCCAGUGUGGCUGAUCAUCCUCUCAGACCAGCUACGGAUCGUCGCCUUGGUGAGCCGUUACCUCACCAACCAGCUAAUCCGACAUAGGCUCAUCCGAUAGCGCGAGGCCCGAAGGUCCCCCGCUUUCCCCCGUAGGGCGUAUGCGGUAUUAGCCUGGGUUUCCCCAGGUUAUCCCCCACUACCGGGCAGAUUCCUAUGCAUUACUCACCCGUCCGCCGCUCGCCACCAGGGAGCAAGCUCCCCGUGCUGCCGCUCGACUUGCAUGUGUUAGGCCUGCCGCCAGCGUUCAAUCUGAGCCAGANCAACUAACUCGUACUACGUAGACGGGCGGUCGGCGACGGACGGCGACUAAG